rnacentral:rRNA from 1 species
UUCCGAUAACGAACGAGACCCCAGCCAUCUAAAUAGCUGUCGCUAGCUUAAUUUUAAGUUGGUGUGGGCGCAAGCCCUAACAGCUUCUUAGAGGGACUAUCUGUGUCAACAGGUGGAAGUGUGGGGCAAUAACAGGUCAGUGAUGCCCUUAGAUGCUCUGGGCUGCACGCGCGCUACAAUGGUGCAUUCAGCGAGGUAACCUGGCUUGAGAAGGCUGGGUAAACUUAAAAGUGCAUCUCAGUUGGGAUAGAUGAUUGCAAUUUUUCAUCUUGAACAAGGAAUAUCUAGUAAACGCAAGUCAUCAACUUGCAUUGAUUACGUCCCUGCCCUUUGUACACACCGCCCGUCGCUCCUACCGAUUGAAUAAUCCGGUGAAUUGAGUGGGUUGGACUCCUUUUCGAUUGAUUUAGAAAAUGAGUCCAAGAAGCUCUGUGAACCUUAUUAUUUAGAGG